rnacentral:rRNA from 1 species
UACGUAGGGACCAAGCGUUGUCCGGAAUCAUUGGGCGUAAAGCGCGCGUAGGCGGCCCGGUAAGUCCGUUGUAAAAGUCAAAGGCUCAACCUUUGAAUGCCGAUGGAUACUGCCGGGCUAGAGUCCGGAAGAGGCGAGUAGAAUUCCUGGUGUAGCGGUGGAAUGCGCAGAUAUCAGGAGGAAUACCCAUAGCGAAGGCAGCUCGCUGGGACGGUACUGACGCUAAGGCGCGAAAGCGUGGGGAGCAAACAGG